rnacentral:piRNA from 1 species
AGAGACAGAGACAGGGAGAGAGA